rnacentral:rRNA from 1 species
UACGUAGGGCGCAAGCGUUGUCCGGAAUUAUUGGGCGUAAAGGGCGCGUAGGCGGCCAUGCGUGUCUUCCGUGAAAUCCCUCGGCUCAACCGAGGACGUGCGGAAGAAACUGCAAGGCUCGAGUCCGGAAGAGGGGGGGCGGAAUUCCCAGUGUAGCGGUGAAAUGCGUAGAUAUUGGGAGGAACACCAGUGGCGAAGGCGGUCCCCCUGGGCCGGAACUGACGCUGAGGCGCGAAAGCGUGGGUAGCAAACAGG